rnacentral:tRNA from 1 species
GCUAAAAUGACAGAAUUAUGUGACAGACUUAAAGCCUGUUUAUGGGGGGACUCUUUUAGUA